rnacentral:snRNA from 1 species
AUAACGUGGCAGAAGCAAUAUCAUAGCCUGUGAGGUCAAUCUGAGGCUCAAUCAUUGCUGGUUGAAAACUUUACCUAAUAAAG